GUUGAGAGGACUGUUGUCUGGCUCGAGGUCAUGAAGAAUGAAAGCUAAACCUAAAUGAUUCUCGGACCAGGCUUCAUUCCCCCCAAC
rfam:Brassica napus, WGS project CCCW01000000 data, contig: 11885